UGGGGUAUCGCCAAGCGGUAAGGCACCGGUUUUUGAUACCGGCAUUCCCUGGUUCGAAUCCAGGUACCCCAGCC
rnacentral:tRNA from 2 species